rnacentral:rRNA from 1 species
AACGAACGUUAGCGGCGCGCCUAACACAUGCAAGUCGAGCGAGAAAGGGAGCAAUCCCCGGUAAAGCGGCGCACGGGUGAGUAACACGUAGGUAAUUUGCCUCCGGUUCCUGGAUAACCUUCCGAAAGGAGGGCUAAUACAAGAUAAGACCACGACGUCGAAAGACGAUGAGGUCAAAGUGGGCCUCUAUUCAUAAGCUCACGACGGGAGAGAAGCCUGCGGCCCAUCAGCUAGUUGGUAGGGUAACGGCCUACCAAGGCGAAGACGGGUAGCUGGUCUGAGAGGAGGAUCAGCCACGCUGGAACUGAGACACGGUCCAGACUCCUACGGGAGGCAGCAGUGGGGAAUCUUGCGCAAUGGACGAAAGUCUGACGCAGCGACGCCGCGUGGGUGAUGAAGGCCUUCGGGUUGUAAAGCCCUGUGGGGAGAAACGAAUAAGUCGUAGCCAAUACCUCCGAUGAUGACGGUAUCUCCUUAGCAAGCACCGGCUAACUCUGUGCCAGCAGCCGCAGUAAAAC